rnacentral:rRNA from 1 species
UACGUAGGGUGCGAGCGUUAAUCGGAAUUACUGGGCGUAAAGCGCGCGCAGGCGGUCUUCCAAGUCAGUGGUGAAAGCCCGGAGCUCAACUCCGGAACUGCCAUUGAAACUGUGAGACUAGAGUACGAGAGAGGUGAGUGGAAUUCCCAGUGUAGAGGUGAAAUUCGUAGAUAUUGGGAAGAACACCGGUGGCGAAGGCGGCUCACUGGCUCGUUACUGACGCUCAGGCGCGACAGCGUGGGGAUCAAACAGG